GCCAGUGCUCUCCUCACAUUUGUGAGACUGAGCCCUGGCUAAGCUCUGAGAAAGCCAUGAGGAGCUAGAUCUUGAGGGAGCUGAGCAGGUGCUCAAAUGGUUGAUAUCUAGUCUCAGUACACCAUGCCCGUCUUGCUUCUCUCUGUAUCUGCUGGAAACUCCUGACUCCACCCUUCUUCCUCCCAGCAGUCUGAGUUUGGCUCUCCUGCCUAACCUUGUCCUGUUCAGGUAUUGGCCAGUCAUCUUCAUUAUUUAACCAAUCAGAGUCAUACAUAUUCAUGGUGUAUACAAGGAUUAUUCGACAGCAUUUCACCAUUAUUGUCUAAGGAAAAAGAAGAAGUCUAUAAAGAUGGUAGCAGUGGGAAAAGAGAAGAUCAUUUCAGUGUCCAGAGGACACACCAGUCCUAUACUCAGGAUGUCCAUGGACUGCUCCUUGGAAAAGUAAUACACAGAAAUAGCCUGGGGUUGGAAUCAGGGUGGGCCCAUGUCUUGCUUGGGAAAGCAAAGAAGACAGGAUUCCUUUAUAUCUACAACAGCUGCCUCAGACACCACACGGAAGCUUCAUAACACAAUGAAAGGUCAAAAGAAAAAAGGACAUGGGAAAGCAAAAACAGCUAUGUCAGACAGAAGAUCAGAGAUGUCAACUCUUGCCACAAAGGAGUCCUGCAAACAAAAUGACACAGGGAAGGAGGUGCAUGAUGAUAGUAUUUGUUUGGCAAAAAAAGCUCUACAAGCCAGCAGCAUUAGGACUGCCGUGGAUGGCUCGGCAGGGGAUGCCCCUGACCACAACUCCAAAAAGAACAAAGGACAAAGAGAAAGAAAACUGGAAAAUGUCAUGAUCAAUCCAGAAGACAUCAUUCUUAUCUCCAGUGUUGACUCUCCAGGGGGUGGCCCUGAGCAGAGACCCAUAAACAACAGUGGGCCAAGAAAAAGGAAACUGGAGAAUGUCCUGACCGAUCCAGAAGACAACAUCAUUCUUAUCUCCAGUGAUGACGCUCCAGGGGAUGGCCCUGAACAGCAGGCCAAGAGCAAGAAAGUCCAGAAGACAAAGUCACAGGCGGAUGUCAAAGCAGAUACCCAGGAAAGCAGACUGCAGGCCUCAGGCACAUUCACCUCUGAAGCCACCCUUGGAGUUGCCUCAGAGCUGAAGUUCCCCAGGAGGAAGAAGAGGAACAUAUGGACUGUGGACCAUAUCGAGGGAACAAAACUCACAGUAAAAAAGAGAAGACUCAGUUACCGGCCUGAGGAUCUUGAAGCCUUCUACCAAAUUCUGGAGGAUCCUGUGGUCCAGAAUUUUUUGGCAGCUGACAUUUUCUUCAGGGUGACCGACAAGUACCUGCUGUCCAUGGUGGUGGAGUACUUUGGCCGACUCGGGCUGCCUGGACAUCUCUACAACAGGAUCCACUUCUUCCUGGCCCUCUACAUCGCCUGUGACAUGGAAGAGGAUGACCCCAUAUCCAAGAGGAGCAUCUUUCAAUUCCUGCUGGGCACAGACACAUGGCAGGACUUAUACAAGGACUUCCAAAGGCUGCAGGGGGAGUUCCUCCAAGUCAUAGAUUACCGAGCCUGGCUCACACGACAGGAGUGUGAAGAGAUCCAGAACCAGAACCCACACCACUGGGUCUGGAGCCGGGUGCGACAGAGCGCCCCUUAGGUUCCCAGGCCUGGGGACCAUCAGCAGGUUAGUGGAGGUCCUGGCCAGGGGCUCCACAUGCAGGGACUAGCCAGGGUUCCUGAAGCUGUAAUCUGGUCAUUUGUGGACAUAACAAGGAGCUCUGCUGCCACCUAUCUUGGAGUUUUCUCUUAGAGGGCAACAUGUGGGCAUGUGAGCACUGCUGAGUUGCAGAAAGUGCUUAAAUUCCAAUUCUCCAACUGGAUUGCAUCACAGGACCACGCAAUUCAUGACCUCCUGCUCACCCCUGCCAUUUCCUCCCCUCCACAAGACACAAGAGCUUUUCCCUACGAUACAAGUACCUGCAGAAUUCCACAUUCCACUCCAGGCUCUCCUUAUACCUUCAGGAUGAAGGAUCCAGGAAGAGGAUGUACAAUGUGAAGCUGGUCAACAACACCUCCAACGGAGCUCAGGCUUCAGGACGGUAGCCUACAGAGGGCUGGCUCUACCUGGACUAUCCUUCACUGGAUUCCAAAACAACAUUAUCUUCAGGGAUUGAGGACAGAACGCCACAAUAUCACACAAAGUUCAGGAGUCCUGGACCAGAGGAGGAAGAACUCAAGCCAGUCCAGGUUCUGAGCUGUAGCAGGGGACCUGGAACACAGAAGUGACUGAAGUCAGAGGAUAAGGCCAGGUCUGCCUAAUCAGCAAGCCCUGUCUGAAGGCGUAAGUCACAAACAAUCCCACACCAGUUUGGAAUUAUGAUUAAUAGAAUGGUUAUUUAUUCAAAG